GCCCGCAUGGCUCAGUCAGUUAAGCAUCUGACUUCGGCUCGGGUCAUGAUCUUGUGGUUCGUGGGUUCGAGCCCCGCUCCGGGCU
rnacentral:tRNA from 1 species